GGCCUGUCUUCUGCAAGAACACAAACUCUAUCAGGACAUGGUCACUACAGCCCAGAGUACCUCCAGUCUUAAUCUGCAUAAUGAGUUCCUCUGCAGUGACUUCACAGUAUGGGGGAGAAUGAGGAGAGUGAAUUGGUGAUGCUGAUUUCAUCCAAGCAUUCUUUAAAGAUUCAUAAAUACACAGAAAGCUUAAUCUCACCACUUUCCUGAAGGACUUUGGAUAUUUAUGAAGCUGCAUAAAUAAGACUAUAUGGAGAUUGAGCAUUCCUUUACACAAAACCAGUGGUGGAACUGACAGAAUAUUUUUACCCUUUGGUGACUGAUGUGAAGAAUUGCAAAUAUAAUUUGCCCAGAGGGCAAAAUGACUCCUGAAAAACCUGGUAGUUUCAAUACUUUACAUGUGGAAAAUAAAUAAAUAAAUAAAUAAAUAAAUAAAU
ensembl:lncRNA